UACGGGGGGGGCAAGCGUUGUUCGGAAUUACUGGGCGUAAAGGGCUCGUAGGCGGCCAACUAAGUCAGACGUGAAAUCCCUCGGCUUAACCGGGGAACUGCGCUUGAUACUGGAUGGCUUGAGAUUGGGAGAGGGAUGCGGAAUUCCAGGUGUAGCGGUGAAAUGCGUAGAUAUCUGGAGGAACACCGGUGGCGAAGGCGGCAUCCUGGACCAACACUGACGCUGAGGAGCGAAAGCCAGGGGAGCAAACGGGG
rnacentral:rRNA from 1 species